GUUGAGUCGGGAUAGCUGGCGCUCAAGUCUCGCUGUUUCAUCUGGUAAAGUGAAUGGUUAGAAGUGAUUUCAAUCUGAUCUCAAACUUUAAAUUAUAAAAUGCAUGGCUUGCUUGCUUGGAGCUGGGAGUGGAACGCAAGCUGCCCAGAGGGCCGCUUUUGGUAAGCAGAACUGGCCCUUUAGGAUGAAUCA
rnacentral:ncRNA from 1 species